rnacentral:rRNA from 1 species
AACGAACGCUGGCGGCAUGCCUUACACAUGCAAGUCGAACGGUAACAGGUCUUCGGAUGCUGACGAGUGGCGAACGGGUGAGUAAUACAUCGGAACGUGCCUAGUAGUGGGGGAUAACUACUCGAAAGAGUGGCUAAUACCGCAUGAGAUCUACGGAUGAAAGCAGGGGAUCGCAAGACCUUGUGCUACUAGAGCGGCCGAUGGCAGAUUAGGUAGUUGGUGGGAUAAAGGCUUACCAAGCCGACGAUCUGUAGCUGGUCUGAGAGGACGAUCAGCCACACUGGGACGAGGACACGGCCCAGACUCCUACGGGAGGCAGCAGUGGGGAAUUUUGGACAAUGGGCGCAAGCCUGAUCCAGCAAUGCCGCGUGCAGGAUGAAGGCCUUCGGGUUGUAAACUGCUUUUGUACGGAACGAAAAGCCCUGGGUUAAUACCCUGGGGUCAUGACGGUACCGUAAGAAUAAGCACCGGCUAACUACGUGCCAGCCGCCGCAGUAAGAC